rnacentral:lncRNA from 1 species
GUCUGGGUCAUCUUGUCUGCCCGCCGCUGGCCUGGCCCCGUCUGUCUCUCUCAGCAGCUGUCUUUCUCGCGCCCACUGGCCGGUCUCUCCUCUUCCCCGCAGUUGCCUCCUUCUCUGCCUGCCUGGGUGGCCGCCAUGGGCCGGAAGCGGCUCAUCACUGAUUCCUACCCGGUUGUGAAGAGGAGGGAGGGGCCCGCUGGGCACAGCAAGGGGGAGCUGGCACCCGAGCUAGGUCUCUGAGGUGUGAGGGAGGCAGGAGGAGUGGACACGGAGGGGCCUAGAGGAGGCCCCUAGAGGGGCGGAGGGGCCGAUGGAAAGGGAAAGCCAACCUCGUACUGAAGAGCAGCUGUCAUUGCAGGGGAGGAGCCCCAGCCCCGCGACGAGGAGGAAGCGGAGCUGGAGCUGCUGAGGCAGUUUGACCUGGCCUGGCAGUACGGGCCCUGCACCGGUGAGAACCCACCCAGCCCCACGGAGGCGCCUCUCCCAGCCAGUCACCCACACGUCUCUGAAGUCACCCAAGCGCUUGCGUGACUCUGACCCUCA